rnacentral:rRNA from 1 species
GACGACUCUUGGCAAUGGAUAUCUUGGCUCUUGCAUCGAUGAAGAACAUAGCGAAAUGUGAUGCAUGGUGCGAAUUGCAGAAUCCCGUGAACCAUCGAGGUUUUGAAUGCAAGUUGCGUCAAAGGCCAGCAGGUCAAGGGCACGUCUGCUUGGGAGUCAAAAUAACUCAUCGCUCU